rnacentral:rRNA from 1 species
AUUGAACGCUGGCGGCAGGCCUAACACAUGCAAGUCGAACGGUAACAGGAAACAGCUUGCUGUUUCGCUGACGAGUGGCGGACGGGUGAGUAAUGUCUGGGAAACUGCCUGAUGGAUGGGGAUAACUACUGGAAACGGUAGCUAAUACCGCAUAACGUCGCAAGACCAAAGAUGGGGACCUUCGGGCCUCUUGCCAUCGGAUGUGCCCAGAUGGGAUUAGCUAGUAGGUGGGGUAACGGCUCACCUAGGCGACGAUCCCUAGCUGGUCUGAGAGGAUGACCAGCCACACUGGAACUGAGACACGGUCCAGACUCCUACGGGAGGCAGCAGUGGGGAAUAUUGCACAAUGGGCGCAAGCCUGAUGCAGCCAUGCCGCGUGUAUGAAGAAGGCCUUCGGGUUGUAAAGUACUUUCAGCGGGGAGGAAGGGAGUAAAGUUAAUACCUUUACUCAUUGACGUUACCCGCAGAAGAAGCACCGGCUAACUCCGUG